CAAGAAGCCGAAAGGCUACUUAAAACCAUCGCGAACUAUCCAAGUUGCUUCCGGCGGCGCGGCUCCCCUCACGGGGGACCGCAGCCCCCGCCUCUCAGGAGGUAAGGGGCAGCCGCCGGAGGGUACGAAACUCUGUAUUAUAGUGGUAUCUCUGAGUAUAAAACAAAUAAGUUA
rnacentral:misc_RNA from 1 species